UGAGUACGAGACGCUAAGGCGUCGAAGUAGUGGAUGUCAUACUCCCAAGAAAAGCUUGCACUGUCAUGAAUAAAAAAUGCCUGUACCAUAACCGACACAGGUGGGUAAGUAGAGUAUACUAAGGGGCGCGAGAUAACUCUCUCUAAGGAACUCGGCAAAAUAACUCCGUAACUUCGGGAGAAGGAGUGCCUUAUUCUUAAGGUUGCAAUAACAAGAUCCAAGCAACUGUUUAUCAAAAACACAGGUCUCCGCUAAGUCGUAAGACGAUGUAUGGGGGCUGACGCCUGCCCAGUGCCAGAAGGUUAAAGAAGUCGGUUAGCAAUAGCAAAGCUGGUAACUGAAGCCCUGGUGAACGGCGGCCGUAACAAUAACGGUCCUAAGGUAGCGAAAUUCCUUGUCGGGUAAGUUCCGACCCGCACGAAAGGCGUAAUGAUUUGGAUGCUGUCUCGGAGAGGGGCUCGGUGAAAUAGACUUGUCUGUGAAGAUGCGGACUACCUGCACCAGGACAGAAAGACCCUAUGAAGCUUUACUGUAACUUGAAAUUGAAAUUGGACUUUAUUCGCGCAGUAUAGGUGGGAGGCGUUGAUUAUAAUCUUGUGGGAUUAUUGGAGCCAUCAGUGAGAUACCACUCUUGUAAUGUUAGAUUUCUAACUUUGAAUCAUUAUCUGGUCAAAGGACAGUUUCAGGCGGGCAGUUUGACUGGGGCGGUCGCCUCCUAAACGGUAACGGAGGCGUACAAAGGUUUCCUCUGAACGGUUAGAAAUCGUAUCUAGAGUGUAAAGGCAUAAGGAAGCUUGACUGUGAGACCUACAAGUCGAGCAGGGACGAAAGUCGGUCUUAGUGAUCUGACGGUACUGAGUGGAAAGGCCGUCACUCAACGGAUAAAAGUUACUCUAGGAUAACAGGCUGAUCUCCCCCAAGAGUUCACAUCGACGGGGAGGUUUGGCACCUCGAUGUCGGCUCAUCGCAUCCUGGGGCGGUAGUACGUCCCAAGGGUUGGGCUGUUCGCCCAUGAAAGCGGUACGCGGGCUGGGUUCAGAACGUCGUGAGACAGUUCGGUCCAUAUCCGGUGUAGGCGCUAGAAUAUUGAGAGGAGCCUUCUUUAGUACGAGAGGACCGAGAAGGACAUACCUCUGGUGUACCAGUUAUCGUGCCAACGGUAAACGCUGGGUAGCUAUGUAUGGAGUGGAUAACCGCUGAAAGCAUCUAAGUGGGAAGCCCACCUCAAGAUAAGUAUUCUCAUCACGUAAGUGAGUAAGGUCACGGUAAGACUAACCGUUUGAUAGGCAUUAAGUGUAAGUACAGUAAUGUAUGUGCUGAGAUGUCCUAAUAGACCGAGGACUUGA
rnacentral:rRNA from 1 species